rnacentral:rRNA from 1 species
GACGAACGCUGGCGGCGUGCUUAACACAUGCAAGUCGAGCGGAAAGGCCACUUCGGUGGUACUCGAGCGGCGAACGGGUGAGUAACACGUGAGUAAUCUGCCCCUGGCUUCGGGAUAGCCACCGGAAACGGUGAUUAAUACCGAAUAUGACAUGGACUCGCAUGGGUUUGUGUGGAAAGUUUUUUCGGCCAGGGAUGUGCUCGCGGCCUAUCAGCUUGAUGGUGAGGUAAUGGCUCACCAUGGCUUCGACGGGUAGCCGGCCUGAGAGGGUGACCGGCCACACUGGGGCUGGGACACGGCCCAGACUCCUACGGGAGGCAGCAGUGGGGAAUAUUGGACAAUGGGCGGAAGCCUGAUCCAGCAACGCCGCGUGAGGGAUGACGGCCCUCGGGUUGUAAACCUCUUUCAGUACCGACGAAGCGCAAGUGACGGUAGGUACAGAAGAAGCACCGGCCAACUACGUGCCAGCAGCCGCGGUAAAAC